UUGAAAGGGCCUCAAAAGCUUCUGAAAACCAGAGAAAAUCAAAUCAGAUGAGAGGUCUGAACAAGGGAUUGUCAAAGAUAAUGGCUUGCAGGUAUGAGCAUUAUUUAAAAAGAAAAUUACAAAUAAAACCAAGAAUAAAGGGUGAUAAACAGAAA